AACGAACGCUGGCGGCAGGCUUAACACAUGCAAGUCGAGCGCCCCGCCAGGGGAGCGGCAGACGGGUGAGUAACGCGUGGGAACGUGCCUUUUGGUUCGGAACAACUCCGGGAAACUGGAGCUAAUACCGGAUAAGCCCUAACGGGGAAAGAUUUAUCGCCGAAAGAUCGGCCCGCGUCUGAUUAGCUAGUUGGUGAGGUAACGGCUCACCAAGGCGACGAUCAGUAGCUGGUCUGAGAGGAUGAUCAGCCACACUGGGACUGAGACACGGCCCAGACUCCUACGGGAGGCAGCAGUGGGGAAUAUUGGACAAUGGGCGCAAGCCUGAUCCAGCCAUGCCGCGUGAGUGAUGAAGGCCUUAGGGUUGUAAAGCUCUUUUGUCCGGGAAGAUAAUGACUGUACCGGAAGAAUAAGCCCCGGCUAACUUCGUG
rnacentral:rRNA from 1 species